GACAGGUAAAACCACCAAUCAGGGCCAUGGAACUCAAUUCCAGCCCCCCUCACACAGGGUAUCCUAGUCAGAGGAUGCCCAUCUGAAAUCUGGCUGUACCAUGAGCUGCAGGCUUCUCUGCUGUGUGGUCCUCAGUCUCCUGGGGGCAGACCCCAUGAACACCAGAAUUAUCCAGACACCAAGACAUCUGGUCAUGGGGACAACGGGCAAGAAGUCUUUAACAUGUGAACAACAUCUGAACCACAAUGCCAUGUACUGGUAUAAACAGAAUGCAAAUAAGCCCCCUGAGCUCAUGUUUCUCUGCAACUUUCAGAAAGUGGUCCAAAAUGAGACUGUGCCUAGUCGCUUCUCACCUAAGUGCACAGACAGCUCUCACUUCUACCUUGACUUGACUGCCCUGGAACCACAAGACUCAGCAGUGUAUCUCUGUGCCAGCAGCCAAGACACAGCCCUGCACAGUCACUGUCUCCCUGUGCACAAACCUGUUGGUCCAACCAGAAGCUUUGGGGGCAAAUGA